rnacentral:rRNA from 1 species
UACGUAGGGGGCAAGCGUUAUCCGGAUUUACUGGGUGUAAAGGGCGUGUAGGCGGAGCUGCAAGUCAGAUGUGAAAUCCCGGGGCUCAACCCCGGAACUGCAUUUGAAACUGUAGCCCUUGAGUAUCGGAGAGGCAGGCGGAAUUCCUAGUGUAGCGGUGAAAUGCGUAGAUAUUAGGAGGAACACCAGUGGCGAAGGCGGCCUGCUGGACGACAACUGACGCUGAGGCGCGAAAGCGUGGGGAGCAAACAGG